rnacentral:rRNA from 1 species
GAUGAACGCUGGCGGCGUGCCUAAUACAUGCAAGUCGAGCGAACGGACGAGAAGCUUGCUUCUCUGAUGUUAGCGGCGGACGGGUGAGUAACACGUGGAUAACCUACCUAUAAGACUGGGAUAACUUCGGGAAACCGGAGCUAAUACCGGAUAAUAUUUUGAACCGCAUGGUUCAAAAGUGAAAGACGGUCUUGCUGUCACUUAUAGAUGGAUCCGCGCUGCAUUAGCUAGUUGGUAAGGUAACGGCUUACCAAGGCAACGAUGCAUAGCCGACCUGAGAGGGUGAUCGGCCACACUGGAACUGAGACACGGUCCAGACUCCUACGGGAGGCAGCAGUAGGGAAUCUUCCGCAAUGGGCGAAAGCCUGACGGAGCAACGCCGCGUGAGUGAUGAAGGUCUUCGGAUCGUAAAACUCUGUUAUUAGAGAAGAACAAAUGUGUAAGUAACUAUGCACGUCUUGACGGUACCUAAUCAGAAAGCCACGGCUAACUACGUGCCAGCAGCCGCGGUAAUACGUAGGUGGCAAGCGUUAUCCGGAAUUAUUGGGCGUAAAGCACGCGUAGGCGGUUUUUUAAGUCUGAUGUGAAAGCCCACGGCUCAACCGUGGAGGGUCAUUGGAAACUGGAAAACUUGAGUGCAGAAGAGGAAAGUGGAAUUCCAUGUGUAGCGGUGAAAUGCGCAGAGAUAUGGAGGAACACCAGUGGCGAAGGCGACUUUCUGGUCUGUAACUGACGCUGAUGUGCGAAAGCGUGGGGAUCAAACAGGAUUAGAUACCCUGGUAGUCCACGCCGUAAACGAUGAGUGCUAAGUGUUAGGGGGUUUCCGCCCCUUAGUGCUGCAGCUAACGCAUUAAGCACUCCGCCUGGGGAGUACGACCGCAAGGUUGAAACUCAAAGGAAUUGACGGGGACCCGCACAAGCGGUGGAGCAUGUGGUUUAAUUCGAAGCAACGCGAAGAACCUUACCAAAUCUUGACAUCCUCUGACCCCUCUAGAGAUAGAGUUUUCCCCUUCGGGGGACAGAGUGACAGGUGGUGCAUGGUUGUCGUCAGCUCGUGUCGUGAGAUGUUGGGUUAAGUCCCGCAACGAGCGCAACCCUUAAGCUUAGUUGCCAUCAUUAAGUUGGGCACUCUAAGUUGACUGCCGGUGACAAACCGGAGGAAGGUGGGGAUGACGUCAAAUCAUCAUGCCCCUUAUGAUUUGGGCUACACACGUGCUACAAUGGACAAUACAAAGGGCAGCGAAACUGCGAGGUCAAGCAAAUCCCAUAAAGUUGUUCUCAGUUCGGAUUGUAGUCUGCAACUCGACUAUAUGAAGCUGGAAUCGCUAGUAAUCGUAGAUCAGCAUGCUACGGUGAAUACGUUCCCGGGUCU